AUCACUUUGCGGCCUUUUGGCUAAGAUCAAGUGAGUGCUCUUCUCGGUAUUGGUUCUUACCAGUUUAAUAUCUGAUGCGUCCUUGAUGAGAGGACUUUCUAUUAAAUGGAUUUUUGGGCCCAGAGGUUGUUCCUGCCACUCAGCACACUGUUACGGUGUUGUAGUGCCUCCGGGACACUUUCUUUU